AUCCUGGCUCAGGAUGAACGCUAGCGGCAGGCUUAACACAUGCAAGUCGAGGGGCAUCGGGAGUAGCAAUACUUGCCGGCGACCGGCGCAAGGGUGCGUAACGCGUGAGCAACAUGCCCGUAUCAGGGGGAUAAUCCAUGGAAACGUGGUCUAAUACCCCAUAGUAAUUAUGUAAGGCAUCUUAUAUAAUUUAAAGCUUUGGUGGAUACGGAUUGGCUCGCGUGACAUUAGCUAGAUGGUAAGGUAACGGCUUACCAUGGCUACGAUGUCUAGGGGUUCUGAGAGGAAGGUCCCCCACACUGGAACUGAGACACGGUCCAGACUCCUACGGGAGGCAGCAGUGAGGAAUAUUGGACAAUGGAUGGAAAUCUGAUCCAGCCAUGCCGCGUGCAAGGAAGACGGCCCUAUGGGUUGUAAACUGCUUUUGUAUGGGAGCAAUAAGGGCUACGCGUAGUCCGAUGAGAGUACCAUACGAAUAAGCACCGGCUAACUCCGUGCCAGCAGCCGC
rnacentral:rRNA from 1 species